AUACGCACAUGUACCAGGCCAGCUCUCACGCCAGAACGCCCAUGUACGAGGCGAAAUCUCACGCAAGGAAAGCCCAGUCCUUACGUCUUUCUCUUUCCCCUCUCACGCGAGGAUGCACACGCCCGAGCUCUCCAUGGCGACGCCGUGCUCUCGCCUUCUCCCGGCCGCGCCCGGCCGUCUCCGGCACUGGUAAGGCGCGGUUCUGUUCGCCUCGAGGUGCUCCACAACUUCCCCCUCCUCGUUUUGAUCAUCUCGGUCUCAAUCACUCGCCCACGACCCCGAUUGAGUCGCCGUCUCUGCCACUACACCGGCCGAUCUUGGUCAACUCCGGCGCCGGCGAUAUGGUUUUCUGGCUCCCUUCGCCGUUCCCUACCUCUCGGCUCCGCUCGAUUCGAUUCUCGAGCCGUAUCUGGUCCGUCCCCAAAUCGAGAACCCUAGCUCGAUGUUGGCUCAAUUCGGCCGUCGCCGGCCGAUUCCGGCAGCGCCUCACCCCGGCGUGACGCCUCCAUGAACUCCACCUCCAAAAACUUCUGCCUCAACAUCGCCCUGCGCCGCCCUCGCGUGGCCCUGCCCUCGGCUAACCCUAGCCGUGGCUAGGUGGUUGACCGGCUCCCGCAUUUGUCCCUCUGGCUUUGCCUCUCGACGACGAGCUCGGCUUCCUCGUCAUCCUCCACGAUUUCUACGUGACGCUAGCAGGACGAUGCCGCGGACGCAACCCUGGCGCCACGGUCCGCUGCCCUGUGGCCUUUGCCAUUGCGGGUGCUGCUGUUGCUCGUGAUGGAGCUGCUGCUGUGAGCUGUGGUGCUCGACAUCGAUGGACGGCGCUGCAAGCGCAACCUCGGUGUCGAAUAGCUCGCCUACGCCAUGUAUUCCACUAUUGAUGCUUUGUUUGGUGGCUUGCUUAUGAGCUUAGAUAUAUACUUUAUUACUGUGCUGCAACUAUAGUACUACUUGGUUGGCCUGGGCUGAUUUCCUGGACCCUAAGUAGAUUCAUGUAGUAUGUUGGUUAUUAACUGUUGGCUUGUGGUGAUUAUGGUAUAGCUCUUAUCUGCUAAGACAUACACUAUUUUGUUAAUUGAAAGUGUUUAGUGGUACUGCUGUUUAAUCUUAAUUAAGCUCAAACAUGCUGGUGAUUUCAAUGCUGCUACUAUUAUUGUAUAAUUUCCUUGAUGGCUGCUUGGGAGCUGAUAAUUGGAGGUGGUAUCAUUUGUUGGUUGACUGGAACAUGGCUGGAAUAUCACUACUGCUUGUAUAAUACUGGGUUGGCCUGAGAUUAUUUCCUGGACCCUAUGUACAUCCUGGUGACAUGUUAAUUAGUUGUGGCUGUUUAUGGUGAUGACUCAAUCAAAUGCACAAAUGCUACUGGUCAAAUCCUUGCUUAACAAAUACAGUGAUGUCUCUAAUUGGAUAAUUAAUUAUCCAGGCAUUGUGGCUGGUUGUAUUUCUUUUACUGUUGAAACUGAACACACACUACAACAUGCACUAUUGAGUUGAGGUUUGGUUUGGGCCUUGACUAUGAUAUAAAUUGAUGCCCCAUUUAAUUCAUGGUUGAAUUUGAGAAAUGAAAUAGAAGUACUAUUGCUGGAUGAUUUACUUGGUGGAUUCUAGUGAGCUUAUGGUAUGCUUGUUAUGCUCUGAUUGAUGGGAAUACUUACUGGAUAAUGUGCAUACAUGACCAGACCUUGUGGUUAUGUGGAUGGCUUGCUUAUACUUAAGCUGAUGAUUUUGUAGCUUUGAUUUACUGUCUUUUCUUAUUCUGCAUAAGUGCUCAUGUGCUUCUUACCAACAUAUCUACCCUGUGGUGCCUCAAUGAGUGUGCACAGAGUAUGAAUCUGUUAGAGUGAGACCUGGUGCUGGUGCUGUUGUGCUUGUGUAAAAUAGGAAAUAGACAUUGAUCAUAGCUGUAUGAUUAGAUGAUGCCAAAUGUCCAUCCCAAGCUCUUAAUGAUGCUUGAGUUAAUUUGAAUGGACAGAUCGAUGCUUGCUUUAGCCGAUGAUGCAAAGGCUGAGGCAAAAACUUGGAUAAGAACAGAUAUUAAUAUUUGACUUAAAUUCUCUGUGAUGAGCUUGGCAUAGCACUACUAUGCAGAUCUGAGAGAAAUAAUUUCUCCUGAUCCUCCUAGACCAGAUCUAGUUGCAGGGUGGUUGGAUUUAUUUACUUGCAUGUUACCCUUUUAUUUUCCCUGAGAUGCAAAGACUAAGAACACAUGUUUUUAUUAAGUUGAUGGAUCAACCUGCUGUUUGUAGAGAUCUUGGCCUUCUGGACUGUUGAUUGAUUGCCUUCUUGUGGGAUUCCUGCUCCUCCUAGCUGCUUGAUCUGCUUCCCUAUGGCUCUAAAUAAUCCAUGGCUAUCUAUGGUUGUUCUUCAUGGUACUUAUGGAUGAAUAUGUGCUGCUAGUGAUUACUAGAGCAGACUUGCUGUUCUGAGUGAUGAGAACAUGGGUGAGUGAUGAGAACAUGGGUGAUGUGCUUGGAUGAACAGGGAUAUUUCCUGAGAUGAUCUGGUGGUCUAGAUAAAGAACAUAUGAUGUUCUUGGUGGUUCUUGGCUGGUUGAUCGGGUGUG